UAGUAAAUAUAAAAGGGAGCCUUCACCUGUUCACAGAACUCCUGCCGCGAAAUCAGAUUACGAGGUUUGUUACCCACUCGAUUGCAUCCACAUAGGCGUACACUGUUGGCUGCGUGAGACGAUCCAUAGAAAUGUAAAAGAUGCCAGAAAAAGAUGUAACCAAAGGGAGACCACUGCUUCCAACAGAUACACAAGAAACCCUUUCCGGGGAUGAACCACUACUGACCUCUUCGGACCUAGAGAAAUAGUUUUGACUAUUAAACGGCUAGUAUUUUAAUAAUUAUAAAAUUGUAUAACAGUAUACUAGUAUAUGUUGAACAAAAGCUUUUACAACAGUGUGGAUGUUUUAUUUAAUUUUCCUUGAUUUAUGUCCAUACCAGCAUUCCAUACCUAUCCAGAACCACGUUUUAGGUUACAUGUCACAUUUUGAAAUGAAAAAAAUGCCAUUUUUGUAGGGAUCUCUUUAAAUUCUCAGUAUAACAAAUUGUAUUGCAUAUAUAUUAUCAGGUAUUUAUUAUUUUCAUACUUUAUAAUCAUCUGUAUUUCCGUG